rnacentral:rRNA from 1 species
ACCCCACUGCUAUCGGGGUGGGACUAAGCCAUGCUAGUUGAGCGUCCCGAGUUACGGCGAGACGCGGCGUACGGCUCAGUAACACGUAGUUAACCUGCCCUUAGGACUGGGAUAAUCCCGGGAAACUGGGGCUAAUCCCAGAUGGGUGAGGAGGCCUGGAAUGGUUCCCCACCGAAAGGGCGUUGGGACCAUGCUUCUCAACGCCGCCUAAGGAUGGGGCUGCGGCCGAUCAGGUUGUUGGUGGGGUAACGGCUCACCAAGCCUUUGACCGGUACGGGCUGUGAGAGCAGGAGCCCGGAGAUGGACACUGAGAUAAGGGUCCAGGUCCUACGGGAUGCAGCAGGCGCGAAACCUCCACAAUGCGCGGAAGCGUGAUGGGGCUACCCCGAAUGCCGUCCGCUGAGGAUGGCUUUUCUCCGGUGUAAGGAGCCGGAGGCAAUAAGGGGAGGGCAAGACUGGUGUCAGCCGCCGCGGUAAUACCAGCUCCCUGAGUGGUGGGGACGAUUAUUGGGCUUAAAGCGUCCGUAGCCGGCUUGGCAAGUCUUCCGUUAAAUCCAGCGACCUAAUCGCUGGGCCGCGGGAGAUACUGUCAGGCUAGGAGGCGGGAGAGGCCGGCGGUAUUCUCGGGGUAGGGGUGAAAUCCUAUAAUCCCGGGAGGACCACCGGUGGCGAAGGCGGCCGGCCAGAACGCGCUCGACGGUGAUGGACGAAAGCUGGGGGAGCGAACCGGAUUAGAUACCCGGGUAGUCCCAGCCGUAAACGAUGCGGGCUAGGUGUUGGGGCGGCUACGAGCCGCUUCAGUGCCGCAGGAAAACCGUUAAGCCCGCCGCCUGGGAAGUACGGUCGCAAGACUGAAACUUAAAGGAAUUGGCGGGGGAGCACCACAAGGGGUGAAGCUUGCGGUUCAAUUGGAGUCAACACCGGGAACCUUACCGGGGGCGACAGCAGGAUGAAGGCCAGAUUGAAGGUCUUGCUGGACAAGCUGAGAGGAGGUGCAUGGCCGUCGCCAGUUCGUGCCGUGAGGUGUCCUGUUAAGUCAGGUAACGAUCGAGACCCGCGCCCCUAGUUGCCAGCAGAUCCCGCUGGGAUGCUGGGCACACGAGGGGGACCGCCGCCGACAAGGCGGAGGAGGGAGCGGGCUACGGCAGGUCAGUAUGCCCCGAAUCCCCCGGGCCACACGCGAGCUGCAAUGGCAGGGACAGAGGGCUCUGAACCCGAGAGGGGGAGGCAAUCCCUAAACCCUGCCUCAGUUGGGAUCGAGGGCUGCAACCCGCCCUCGUGAACAUGGAAUCCCUAGUAAUCGCGUGUCAUCAACGCGCGGUGAAUACGUCCCUGCUCCUUGCACACACCGCCCGUCGCUCCAGCCGAGUGAGGUUUGGGUGAGGCGCGGUCUCGUUGGCCGCGUCGAAUCCAGGCUUCGCAAGGG